UAUUAAAUAUAUAUAUAUGUGUAUAUAUAUAUAUAUAUUAUGAUAAUAAUAAAAAUAUUUUUAAUUUAAUAUUGUUUUAGUAAUUUAAAUGAAUAAAUAAAUUUAAUUAUAGUUAAUUAGUACUGUGAAGGGAGGGUGAAAUAAAAUGAAAUUUUAAUAUUAUUUAAGUAGAUUUAAUUUAUUGUACCUUGUGUAUCAGGGAUUAUUAAUUUGUAUAAUUUUAUUAAUUUAAUCUCGAAUUUAAAAGAGUUAAUAAUUUAUGAUUUAUAAUGUUUAAUAAUUAUAGGGAAUAUUUUAUUAGUAGUGAAAUGUUAGUCGAUUUUAAAUAUAUCUAGUUCUUUAAGAAAUAAAUUUAAUUUAUUAAAUCAAUUAUAAUUUAUUUUAUUAAUAAAAUUAAAUUAAUUGAUUUAAUUAUAAAUUAGGGGAUAAUCUUUAAUUUAAAUUUCUAUAAUAUUAAUUUUUAAGGUUAUAAUUUUAAAGGUUUAAUAAUGACUAUUAUUAUAUAAAUGUUAUAAUUUAUUUAUAAUAUAUUUUGUUUUUUUUUUUUAGUUUAGAUAUUUUAUUAAAGUGAAUUUUUUAAUGAUUUUAUUUUUGUAAUAAUGAUUAUAUUAGUAAAUAUAUAUAUAUAUAUAUAUAUAUAAUAUAUAUUUUAAUAAGGAAUUCGGCAAAAAUUAAUUAUAUAUUCACCUGUUUAUCAAAAACAUGUCUUUUUGUUUAUAAUUUAAAGUCUAAUCUGCCCAAUGAUAAUUUUAAUGGCCGCGGUAUCUUGACCGUGCAAAGGUAGCGUAAUAAUUAGUCUUUUAAUUGGAGACUUGUAUGAAGGAUUGAAUGAAAUAUAUACUGUCUCAUUAGAAUUUAAGAUUGAAUUUAAUUUUUGAGUUAAAAAGCUUAAAUUUAAUUAGGGGACGAGAAGACCCUAUAGAGUUUUAUAUUUAUUAAAAAUAUUAAUUUAAUUGUGUAGGUUAAUAUUUUUAAUAUUUAUUUUGUUGGGGUGAUAAGAAAAUUUGUUAAACUUUUUUAUUUAUUUAUACAUUGAUAUAUGAGUUAAUGAUCCUUAUUUAAAGAUUAAUAGAUUAAAUUACCUUAGGGAUAACAGCGUAAUUUUUUUUUAAAGUUCAUAUUUGAAAAGAAGAUUGCGACCUCGAUGUUGGAUUAAAAAUAGUUUUAGGUGUAGGAGCUUAUAAAAUUAGGUCUGUUCGACCUUUAAAUUUUUACAUGAUCUGAGUUCAGACCGGCGUGAGCCAGGUUGGUUUCUAUCUUUAAUUAGUUAAAAUAUUAUAGUACGAAAGGAUUUAAUAUUUAUAAUAAAUUAUAUUAAAUUGAGUUUUAUUAAAGUUAAUUAUAAUAUAU
rnacentral:rRNA from 1 species